rnacentral:rRNA from 1 species
GAUGAACGCUGGCGGCGUGCCUAAUACAUGCAAGUCGAGCGAAUGGAUUAAGAGCUUGCUCUUAUGAAGUUAGCGGCGGACGGGUGAGUAACACGUGGGUAACCUGCCCAUAAGACUGGGAUAACUCCGGGAAACCGGGGCGAAUACCGGAUAAUAUUUUGAACUGCAUGGUUCAAAAUUGAAAGGCGGCUUCGGCUGUCACUUAUGGAUGGACCCGCGUCGCAUUAGCUAGUUGGUGAGGUAACGGCUCACCAAGGCAACGAUGCGUAGCCGACCUGAGAGGGUGAUCGGCCACACUGGGACUGAGACACGGCCCAGACUCCUACGGGAGGCAGCAGUAGGGAAUCUUCCGCAAUGGACGAAAGUCUGACGGUGCAACGCCGCGUGAGUGAUGAAGGCUUUCGGGUCGUAAAACUCUGUUGUUAGGGAAGAACAAGUGCUAGUUGAAUAAGCUGGCACCUUGACGGUACCUAACCAGAAAGCCACGGCUAACUACGUGCCAGCCGCCGCGGUAA